AAGCGAAUGAUUAGCGUAUUUGGGGGCUAUUUGCCUUCAGACGAUUCUCAAACUUUCAAUGCGCAAGGGUGUAGCUGCUUAAUUGAGCUUCACCGAUAAAAACGUCGGCCCUGUGGGCCAUUUUUGGUAAGCAGAACUGGCGAUACGGGAUGAACCGUAAGCAUGGUUAAGGUGCCAAACUACUCGCUUAUAGAUCCCACAAAAGGUGUUGAUUCAUCGAGACAGCAGGACGGUGGCCAUGGAAGUCGGAAUCCGCUAAGGAGUGUGUAACAACUCACCUGCCGAAUGAAUUAGCCCUGAAAAUGGAUGGCGCUUAAGCGGGUGACCGACACCAUGCCGUCUGAACAAUAUAACGUUCAGAUGAGUAGGAGGACGUGGUGAUUGUGGCGAAGUAUGUGUGCGAACAUGUAUUGAACGAUCACUAGUGCAGAUCUUGGUGGUAGUAGCAAAUAUUCAAGCGAGAUCCUUGAAGGGCGAAGCGGGGAAGGGUUCCACGCUAACAUUGAUUGGGCGUGGGUGAGUCGUUCCUAAGCCGAGUGGCAAUUGCUAAGUAACGGCGAAAGGGAAGCGGGUUUACAUUCCCGCACACGGAUGUGGAGGCGGUGACGCUUUAUUGGGGCGAACACGCUGGCGAUGGCGCUGGGCAGAGUUGUCUUUUCUGUUUGACCGUUUGUGUAUGCGGUGUGGAGUCCGUUUGUUGGGAGAAACACGCGUACAUGGGCAGAGCGCCGGGGCUUAUCCGGCGUCCAGCUCGCCAUCGACGGCCCUUGAAACUUUGCCUGCUGAAUUAAGAUCCACGCCGUGGCGUACCGAUAACCGCAUCAGGUCCCCAAGGUGAACAGCCUCUGCUCAAUAUGAAAAAUGCAGGUAAGGGAAGUCGGCAAAUUAGACCCGUAACUUUGGGAAAAGGGUUGGCUCUAGUGCUGCGUGGGAGUGGUUGUCAAGUUGUGGCGUUUUUGGAGCUGCUGUUAGCGCGAUACUUCGGUAUUGUUCGAUCGGCGGUACUGGGAAUGCUGCUCUUGACGACGCCCACAGCAUGCAGCAAACUAGAACUGCAACGGGCAAAGGGAAUCCG
rnacentral:rRNA from 1 species